CCUACGGGUGGCUGCAGUGGGGAAUAUUGGACAAUGGGGGGAACCCUGAUCCAGCCAUGCCGCGUGUGUGAAGAAGGCCCUCGGGUUGUAAAGCACUUUCAGUGAGGAAGAACGCCUGGUGGUUAAUACCCAUCAGGAAAGACAUCACUCACAGAAGAAGCACCGGCUAACUCCGUGCCAGCAGCCGCGGUAUUACGGAGGGUGCGAGCGUUAAUCGGAAUUACUGGGCGUAAAGCGCGCGUAGGUGGCUUGAUAAGCCGGUUGUGAAAGCCCCGGGCUCAACCUGGGAACGGCAUCCGGAACUGUCAAGCUAGAGUGCAGGAGAGGAAGGUAGAAUUCCCGGUGUAGCGGUGAAAUGCGUAGAGAUCGGGAGGAAUACCAGUGGCGAAGGCGGCCUUCUGGACUGACACUGACACUGAGGUGCGAAAGCGUGGGUAGCAAACAGGAUUAGAUACCCUUGUAGUC
rnacentral:rRNA from 1 species